ACUGUGACAGCCAACAAGGGCCAGUGAUUGAUUUUACCCUUUACCCGUGCCCACAAGGUUUUUACUGCCCACCAGGGACGAACAGGAGCACUCAGUACAGCUGCCCUGCGGGAACCUUUGGACCAAGGCAAAAACUGAAAACUAUUAAGGAAUGUCAAAGAUGCCCACCAGGAAAAUACUGUGAAUUCUCUGGACUUGCUGCCCCAACAGGAGACUGUGCUGAGGGAUUUUGGUGCAAAAGUGGUGCCCGAGUAAGAAACCCCCAAGAUGGAGAAUCAGGACUUCCUUGUCCUCCUGGUCAUUACUGUCCUGAAGGUGCCCCGCUUCCAUUGCAGUGCCCUCCUGGCACAUGGUCUGGCAGCGAAGGCAGUGGGAGUUUGCAGGAAUGCCAGCCUUGCCCUGGGGGAUAUUAUUGCAAUAGCUCUGGCCAGAGCGCCCCCUCCGGGCACUGCAGCGCAGGGUACUACUGUGUCACUAGGGCCCAGACCCCGACGCCCACCGAUGGCCUGUCAGGAGCUCCGUGUCCAGUCGGUCACUUUUGUCCUCUUGGAUCCAGGAGUCCAGCACCGUGCCCCCCCGGCUCCUACUCACCACACAUCCGUGGAGAGAAGUGCCAUGCUUGCCCAGAGGGCGACUACUGUGUCCCUGGCGAGAAGCCACAACCCUGUCC
rnacentral:lncRNA from 1 species